CAUACCAUGAAAGAAGCCCUGCGACUCUUUGAAAUGUUUCAUGACAGUGCAGUGGGUGGACAUCUUGGAAUACUCAAAACGAGGAACGUGCUGACAUCAAAACACUAUUGGCCAGGGAUGACAAAAGACAUUACCAAUUGGGUUGCACAAUGCCUGACUUGCCAGAAACAGGGAAAGCAAUCAAAUCUGGAUACCACCUUGAAAAGCAUAAAGGUCACGCGGAUCUGGGAAUUGUUGGGAAUGGAUUUAAUAGGACCAUUACCAACAACAAAGGAUGGAUACAAGUAUAUACUGACAGUCAUAGAUUAUCUGUCAAGAUGGGUG